rnacentral:lncRNA from 12 species
GGGGAACCUGGAUGUAAUUUCCACGGACUGUUACAGACUCAACCCUAACUACUUAGGAAGGCAUCCUGGGAUGCACUGAGAUCCCCUGGCUGGCGCAGCCAGAGGUGAAAGAGCUGGGUGUGUUCAGGAUGCCCACGGAGGGAUGCCGAGAAGUUGAAAAGUUUGUUGCUUUCCUGAAGCACAGCUAUCUAAGCAGGUAAG